rnacentral:rRNA from 1 species
UACAGAGGGUGCAAGCGUUGUUCGGAAUUACUGGGCGUAAAGCGCGUGUAGGCGGCGCGGUAAGUCCUGUGUGAAAGUCAAAGGCUCAACCUUUGAAAGCCGAUGGAUACUGCUGGGCUAGAGUCCGGAAGAGGCGAGUGGAAUUCCUGGUGUAGCGGUGGAAUGCGCAGAUAUCAGGAGGAACACCGAUAGCGAAGGCAGCUCGCUGGGACGGUACUGACGCUGAGGCGCGAAAGCGUGGGGAGCGAACAGG